AUUGAACGCUGGCGGCAUGCUUUACACAUGCAAGUCGAGCGGCAGCGCGGGGGCAACCCUGGCGGCGAGCGGCGGACGGGUGAGUAAUGCAUCGGAACGUAUCCCGUAGUGGGGGACAACCCAGCGAAAGCUGGGCUAAUACCGCAUAUGCUCUACGGAGGAAAGUGGGGGACCCGCAAGGGCCUCACGCUAUGGGAGCGGCCGAUGUCCGAUUAGCUAGUUGGUGGGGUAAAGGCCUACCAAGGCGACGAUCGGUAGCUGGUCUGAGAGGAUGAUCAGCCACACUGGGACUGAGACACGGCCCAGACUCCUACGGGAGGCAGCAGUGGGGAAUUUUGGACAAUGGGGGCAACCCUGAUCCAGCCAUGCCGCGUGCGGGAAGAAGGCC
rnacentral:rRNA from 1 species